rnacentral:misc_RNA from 1 species
GCAUCCUUAUGGUAAUGUAUGUCAGUCUUAAUGAGUUAGCCAACUAUUUUAUUUCACUUGUGUAAGUUUCUGUUCUUACUUCUCUUCCCCAUGUUUGGUUUGCUAGCAUUUAGAAGAUUAUGAUGUGGAUUGAUUGAUAUUUGAUGUAAUUUGAUGGGUCUGCUAUGGCUAGCUUAGAAAUAAAACUGUAGGAGAGUGAAAGAGAGAGAGAGAGGAGAGAGAGA